rnacentral:lncRNA from 10 species
AGGUUGGAGGCCACUGAAAGCAGUGGUGAUUGCCAUGGUGAAGAGAGCUGAAAGGCAACUGGAGACCUGCAGGCACCUAAAGGCAAGAGAUCAAGGAAGAGGAACACGAUAAAAUGCUUAUGGCUCCAAGAAGAAAUAGGGGUGAGAGAUAGGACCACAAAUUGUUUACUCAUUUCAACCAGUAAACAUGUCCUGCAAUGUCAAUCUGUCUUUCUGCCACAGCAGUUCUGCGCCUCCUGAGUUGUUUCCAUCUCCCUCCAGUCAUUCAGGACCACCAAUGAGAUUUGUGAUAUUUGGAAAACUGCCACCCAGUGCCUCCUUUUCCUAAUCUGCUGAAUAAAGUUAAUAAGACUA